GUGACCUCAAAUCAGGUAGGACUACCCGCUGAACUUAAGCAUAUCAAUAAGCGGAGGAAAAGAACUAACAAGGAUUCCCCUAGUAACUGCGAGUGAAGCGGAAAGCUCAAUU
rnacentral:rRNA from 1 species